GUGGGGAAUCUUCCGCAAUGGACGAAAGUCUGACGGAGCAACGCCGCGUGAGUGAUGAAGGUCUUCGGAUUGUAAAGCUCUGUUAAUCGGGACGAAAGAGCCUAGUGUGAAUAAUGCUAGGAAGUGACGGUACCGGAAUAGAAAGCCACGGCUAACUACGUGCCAGCAGCCGCGGUAAUACGUAGGUGGCAAGCGUUGUCCGGAAUUAUUGGGCGUAAAGCGCGCGCAGGCGGAUCUGCCAGUCUGUCUUAAAAGUUCGGGGCUUAACCCCGUGAUGGGAUGGAAACUACAGAUCUAGAGUAUCGGAGAGGAAAGUGGAAUUCCUAGUGUAGCGGUGAAAUGCGUAGAUAUUAGGAAGAACACCAGUGGCGAAGGCGGCUUUCUGGACGAAAACUGACGCUGAGGCGCGAAAGCCAGGGGAGCAAACGGGAUUAGAUACCCGGGUAGUCC
rnacentral:rRNA from 1 species